UUGUGACUGUAUUCAACCAGGGGGCGCUAUAAUCAAGGACAAUGCGUUUUGGUCUAUAACUCCCACACCGUACGUGGCACAUUCAAAAACUUCAUGUCCUCAGAUUCCCUGAAUAGGACUGAAUCACAUGGGCUAAGCCACGCCCAUUUCC